rnacentral:lncRNA from 1 species
GUAGGCCCGUGCCCCUGCUCGCGCUGCAGCCCGUGGAAGGGUUCCGUCCAGCGUAUCCUUCAGAUCUUGCUGUAGGCCUCUGGUGUCUGUGCGCGCGCGGCAGGGGCGGCGGCGGCGACGGCCGGAGGUGUACGGUCAGCGGGUUGCGGAGGAUCGUGCGGGUCGCAAAGGGAAGCCGAGUGCUCCUGCGGCUCCCAGACUGCAACCAGUUGCUUCCUCUACUGAAGUCUUGAAACCCCUGAAAGUCAUCCCUGAGGUUUGAAGUUAACUUCUUCUACACCCUGUUAAUGUUGAUAUUUUGACCUCCUUCCAUGAAUCACAAAUGUUCUUAAUGGCAUCUAGAAUGGUCUGGAAGCUCCGAGUUUAUCUUGGGAACUCAAGAGGAGAGGAUCACCCAGUUCACAGGUAUUUGAGGAUACAAACCCAUUGCUGGGCUCGGC